rnacentral:rRNA from 1 species
UGGGGAAUAUUGCACAAUGGGCGAAAGCCUGAUGCAGCAACGCCGCGUGAGCGAUGAAGGCCUUCGGGUCGUAAAGCUCUGUCCUCAAGGAAGAUAAUGACGGUACUUGAGGAGGAAGCCCCGGCUAACUACGUGCCAGCAGCCGCGGUAAUACGUAGGGGGCUAGCGUUAUCCGGAUUUACUGGGCGUAAAGGGUGCGUAGGUGGUUUCUUAAGUCAGGAGUGAAAGGCUACGGCUUAACCGUAGUAAGCUCUUGAAACUGGGAAACUUGAGUGCAGGAGAGGAAAGUGGAAUUCCUAGUGUAGCGGUGAAAUGCGUAGAUAUUAGGAGGAACACCAGUAGCGAAGGCGGCUUUCUGGACUGUAACUGACACUGAGGCACGAAAGCGUGGGGAGCAAACAGGA